GUUGGGUGUGAAAUACCUGGGCCCAACCCAGGAAACGUAUUCAAAACUAUCUGACUAGAGGUAUGCAGGGGAAGAUGGAACUCAUGGUGGAGCAGUGAAAUGCGUAGAUAUCAUGAGGAACGCCGAUGGUGAAGACAAUCUUCUGGGCAUAUUCUGACACUGAGGAGCGAAAGCGUGGGUAGCAAACAGGAUUAGAUACCCUGGUAGUCCACGCUGUAAACGAUGCAUACUAGGAACUCGGAGAAUCGACCCUCUGUGUUUCGAACGUAACGCGUUAAGUAUGCCGCCUGGGUAGUAC
rnacentral:rRNA from 1 species